rnacentral:lncRNA from 1 species
UAGUUUGAAAUAGACGCUCUGACUUUAAAUGAUUGUGAUAAAAUGCGGAACCUUCUUAAACACUUUUGUUGUAAUACUUUGAAACAUUUGAUGCUACAUUAAUUAAAAUACUUCAUGCAGCAGACGAAUUUUGGUCUAUACUUUGUUCAUGCAUUUAGUGACAACAUAUUCUUGGAGGAAAGAAAAAAGUUUGAGGGAGAAAAUGAAGAUCGAUCGAGCGGCUGAUGCUAACUUCAGUAUGUCAGCAUCAGCUUUAAAUUUGACUUCGGCUGAGGAAACAAAGCACAUUUUAUCAACAUACACAAAUGUUUGUGCUAAAAUAAAAAGAGCAUGAAAUGUUGUACACUGUUCAUUAUGUUGUACAAUAAACAAGAGGCAUGGAAAAAAGUUUUGAAGGUUUUGGUUCUAUUUUUUUUAUAUAUAGUAAUUACAUGACAAAUAUAUUUUUUGUAUUGAAGGUAAAUAAAAAAAUAUAUAGUUGUAACACACAAACCUUAAAACUAACUGGUUUAUUUAAUAAUCAAUAUUUUGUUCAUUUUGUGAGCUAGGUAAUUGCUUUGCAUAUUUCUUCAAAUAAAGACGUUUGUUAUUUAUUUAACAUAUAUAAAUAAAUAUAUAUUUAGCACAAAUAAUAUUGCAGUAAUCUUUGUUCUUCGUAAUCCAAUACGAAUUAAGUUUAUGUAAAUUAUAUUAAACUAUGUAAAUAUAAUUUAUAAUAGUUAACUGUAACUAUGUAAUUCAAAGUCUGUUUUUUCAAAAAUAUUGAACAGUAAACACAAAGUAUUUUUUGAGGAUCAUGAUGUUUCUUACACUGGAGUACCAUUCAUUGUUUCGUCAAAUGGUAAUCCAACAUGGGAGUGAUAAAAAAUAGUAAGGCUAGAGCUCAUUCUUGCGAGAAAAAAAGAAUGGUUUUGCAGAUAACUAAGAAAUUUGAUUGUCCUUCCAAAGUUUUUAUAAAAGAAAUUAUUGAAUUUCCUGAGUUUAAGGUUUUAUAUUCUUAGUUACCAUAAAUAAUUAAUUUUUGAUAUGCAUAUAAAAAUUUGUAAAAAAUUCGGUCAUGGUCCAAUUUUAGUUGGUAUUUCAUACAUAAAUUAUAAAUAUUUUUUUAGCUAGGUAAAGAUUCUUCCUGGUUACAGAAAGACACUUUCAAAUAACUACGUUUUGUUUUGGCAUUAAAAAGUACUUUUUUAAUAUGCAGAAAAUAUAUUUUGUUUUUUAAUGUACAUAAAAUAACUUUUUUUUUUUUUGUUAGAAAAUAUAUUUCUGCUAUUUCUGUUCAUAAAAACCAUCAAACUGGAGAUGUAAAGUAACACCAUUACAAUUACUCUAGGUGUGAGACCAUUGCAAAUAAUAUGAUGAUAGCUAGACAAAAGCUUCUUAGAUUCAUGAAAAUCUUUGUAGGUCCAAGGGAGGAUUCAACUCUGAAGAAAAUGAUCCAGAUUCUAAUAAUUCAUUGUUAUUUGUAUAUCAAAAUGCAUGGCAAAAUAUACUGCUAUUACGGUAUGGUAAUGAGUUUUCCUUUUUUGAUGCUAUGUACCCAACAAUAAGAUAUGCGCUACCUCUCUUGUUCCUUGCAGUGAAAAUAAUGUUGAAUACCAACUUGUGGCUAUUUUUAUUUGUAAAUAUGAAAAUACAGAGGCUAUUGCAAAAGCACUUAUAUGUAUCAAAGAAUAGAAUCCUUUAUUUCAACCUAAUUUUUUUUAUAAAUGAUUAUUCAAAUGAAGAAAUAAAUGCACUUAAAUUUGUUUUUCCAGGUUAAGACAUUUAAAUAUUAUUCUUUAGUGGUACUAAAUAAAUUUCAUUGCAAAUAAUAUUACUUUUUAUUAAUUGUUGAUUUUUUUUUGAAAUUGCUGUUAUUAUUUGGAUCAUAAAUCAUACUUGCUUACAUAAUUUAUAUAUUGUUUUAGAAUUUACUUAGAUUGUACAGUGUUUAUUUGUGAUUUUUAUUGAGAACAAUGACUGUCUAAAAUGGCUAACAGGUGUAUUAUGAUAAAAGAUUAAAGUUCAACUUUGUCACAUUGCACAUACUUAAACAACAGAGGAUUGCAAAAAAGCUGGUAAGACACUAGAAGAAUCACAAUAGUGGCAAAAUAACCCAAAACUUGUAGUAUAUUUGAAAAGCACUUCGUUAUUUAUUCAAAAGAUUGUUCAUAAAUAACAAAAACAAAAACUCUUAUAUCUUUAUCAAAGUUGACGUAAUAUAAAUGUUGAUAUUGAAAACUUUAACUUAUUGUUCUUAACUUUUUUUGAUCUUAGUUAAAUUUUCUACUUAUGUUUUUGCUGAAUGUCAACACCAAUGAUGGAACCGAAAGGCAAAACCUAUCUUUCAAAUACAGUUUUUUAGAAAAAAGAAAGAAUUUUUCACUAACAGCUAUGCUAAGUAUUUUCAUAGAAGAGUUUUUCGUCACAGAUAUGACAAGUUAGAUAAUCCAACUAUUACAAUAAUUUUUUACUAUAUAAUGUUAUUUUUAUCUCCUUUCUGUUAAAAAGAUUUUUAGGCUGUCCAUUUUUUCAAUUAUUUUUGUUUUAGUUAUUGCGAUGAAAAUAGAAGAGCACAUUCUUCAUAUAGAAUAUACCAUGGUGGAAUUCUUUAGUUAAACAUUGUAUUAAAUUAAUAGAUAAAUUACAAGGUGCAGAUAUACGGGACAUUGGUGCUGUGACAGAAAAACUAUGCAAUAUAGCUUCUUUUAAUUCAAAUAGUAGAAAAAUAUACUAAUGUUACCUUGGUGAUUCAGAGCGUUUGCCUGUUCAUGUUAUAAUUGAUUUUGUAGCCCAUAUCUAUGUAAGCCUUUUCUGCCAUUUUUAUUAAAGAGAAUCUUUCUUGGUCUGCAUUUGGUGCCUCGUAUGCUAACUCUCCUUAUUUUGAGUUAGAUAUAUUACCAGAUAAACUUACUUUAGCACAUUCAAUUGAAAGUUUAUUACACAAUAAUCAAUUUAAACAGGCAACACCACUGCCUUUAUCUCUACCUACUAAACAGAAUAAAAUAGAUUUUAAACAUGUAAAUUGUAUGCAAGUAAAUAAUAGUCAUGGUCUUAUUGCUGAAAACACUCGUAGUCAUACAUCUACAACCUGUCAUCAGCUCUUAAAUGAAAUUAGGCAAAUGAGUAACUUUGAAAAUGCUAAUGAUAAUUUGUUUGAAGGGCUAUGUCAACUCAAAAUAAACUUAGCAGAAUGUCUUCCAACAGA